rnacentral:rRNA from 1 species
AAGGCUAAAUACUCCUGACUGACCGAUAGUGAACCAGUACCGUGAGGGAAAGGCGAAAAGAACCCCGGCGAGGGGAGUGAAAAAGAACCUGAAACCGUGUACGUACAAGCAGUGGGAGCCCCACCACCAAAGCAUUCUCUGGUGUUGAAGGCCCUGCAAAGCAGCAUCGCGGUGGCGGAGCGUCGUUUGCGACGCCCAACACACAAAACAAGCGGUGAGUGCUUUGGGGUGGGGUGACUGCGUACCUUUUGUAUAAUGGGUCAGCGACUUAUAUUCUGUAGCAAGGUUAACCGCAUAGGGGAGCCGGAGGGAAACCGAGUCUUAAUUGGGCGUUAAGUUGCAGGGUAUAGACCCGAAACCCGGUGAUCUAGCCAUGGGCAGGUUGAAGGUUGGGUAACACUAACUGGAGGACCGAACCGAC